CCUACGGGAGGCAGCAGUGAGGAAUAUUGGUCAAUGGGCGCGAGCCUGAACCAGCCAAGUAGCGUGAAGGAUGACUGCCCUACGGGUUGUAAACUUCUUUUACAAAGGAAUAAACUGAGGCUCGUGUGCCUUUUUGCAUCUACUUAAUAAAUAAGGAACGGCGAAAUCCCUGCCAGCAGCCGCGGUAAAACGGAGGAUCCGAGCGUUAUCCGGAUUUAUUGGGGUUAAAGGGAGCGUAGAUGGGUUGUUAAGUCAGUUGUGAAAGUUUGGGGCUCAACCGUAAAAUUGCAAUUGAUACUGGCAGACUGGAGUACAGGUGAGGUAAGCGGAAUUCGUGGUGUAGCGGUGAAAUGCGUAGAUAUCAGGAGGAACUCCGGUUGCGAAGGCGGCUUACUGGACUGUAACUGACGUUGAGGCUCGAAAGUGUGGGUAGCAAACAGGAUUAGAUACCCCAGUAGUC
rnacentral:rRNA from 1 species